AGACACACUGCGAAAUAUCUUGUGUCAGACACGCAACGACACAUCGUGUGUCAGACACACGCGGGGACAACUCUAGUGUCAGACACUCAACGACAGCUCUUGGGAAGUUUUUGCUCGCUGCUCUGUUUUGACCUAGGACAGGUUAGAAGUUCACGUUUAAUUUUCACGACAUUGUUCUCCUCCCUGCACGCCCCUCAUCCACCCUGCCGCUACUCCCAUACGUGCGCGUGCAUGCGUGCGUGCACGCCAUCGCGCUGCAAAGCCCUUGCGCAUGAAAAUGCACGCAGCCCUCCCCUCCCUCCCUCCCUGCCCUCCCCACCCACCCCCCGCUCCUCCACGCCCCUCCCGAAGCUUGGCUACACACAGGACACCGCCAUGCGUCUGCACGGAGCUACAUGAACCGCAUGGCGACACGGUUAUAAAUAGAUCUUUUAGCUCUACAAAACAAGCGGGUCCUGUUGAUCGCCUCGCUCUUCUGCUUCUUCAACCUCUCCCCCUCCUCCCUUCGACCCCCCCGAACCCCAUCCUUCGUGCACUCUAACCAGCCAUCCACUUUUAGAGAGGUGGGUGGCUCACUGUGGCUAAUCAUCACGAUGUAAUUUCUCCACAACAAACGGUGGCCAUGUUGAUGGUGGAAGAUGUCAGACAAGGUAUAUGAGAGAUUAUUGCGAUCUGUAUUUCACCAGGAGUGAGGGAAGGAGAGAGAGAACGCCAUGGCAGUGGCUUCCAACGUUCGCUGAACUCUCGUGUCUCGUGCUAAAUCUGACGGGCCGCGAGCAGAGUGGCGCGUUGGCGUCAGGCGCGAGGUUUGGGUCACUGUGAUCUAGCUUUGACCGUAGACGUUGGGUCACGGAUGAAAUAAGAGGCAAGACAAACUACGUUCCGCGGACAGAGAGGACUACAUCUGACGUAACAGCGACGACGGAAGCCGAUGUGGGAACCUUCUGGGAAGCUCCGACUCCUUUACAACGAGUGGUUUCUUGUGUCAACACCCGGAAUAAGUCAGAUGAGAUGAAAAGAAGAAAAAGAAGGAGAGAAAAAAAAAAUUCGCUUCCCAGAUGAACAAGCGUGUGUGUGAGCAUUAAUUUUCAUACAGCUCUCUCUACAGCACGUGUUCUCUGCGUGCACGCGCGCGCGUGUGCGUGUUGUGUGUGUUGCAGCAUCAACAUCCUCCGAGCUUUAAUAAAAUGUGUUUGCAGGAAGGAGAUGCGAUCAUUCAGUUGCUGGCUUGUCGCCACUGGAGAGCCGACAGACUUACAAAGUUGUUCAUGUGGUGGUGAAGGACGUGACGAGGAAGGGGGAGGAGUUCGGGGGGCUCGGGGGUUCGGGGGAGUGUGUGAUGGUAUGGUGUUGUCAAGCCGAGGGCGUUGACGCAGUGCAUGGCAACAACACGCAGUGUUUCAGAGAAAAAUGUGCAAGCCAGCAAAGCUCGUGUCGGGUGUGCAGGUGACGACUGACAUGGAUCAACCUUCCUGAUUGGGGUGCGGCAACCUCGAUCCCUUCGCUGGGUUUAUCAUGAAUGUCGUCGAUUCACUGUGUGGGGAAAAGUGACAGAAAAGUGUGAAAAAAAAAUUAAUUCGUGAGAAUCACCAGCUCUUGGAAUAAAGCGGAGGAGGUGAAGGAAGCAACUAUUCUCUUUCUGCGUGUGUUUACUUUCCUCCCACCCGAGAUCAACAGGCAUCCUACUACACAUUUCUCUCCCCCACCACCACCAUCAUCACCAUCACCACCACCAAACUCCCCUCAACCACCAGCAUGAUCAAGAAACACUCCCAUCUCGGACGACAACAACAACAACGAUGUGACAACGAGAUCCAGCGACGUCACCAGCUGUUGCUGUGACAGUAGCACCGAGCGACCCUGCGAUGAGGACAGUGAGAUGCCAAGGUGUUGGUCUCCUGUCAUGACAGUUAGUCGUGUUUACAGAAUUUUUUUUAUUAUAUCUAAUUCUCCAGAUAAGCACUCGGACCCACCCAAAUUUGUAAAUAAAUAAAAGUAAAACCGACCGACAGCUGAGGUUUGCUUCAAGAAGACUUGAGGGAGGAUGCCCUCCUCUUAUCGCCCUCGCGAUGGAGAGUGCCAACAGUGACCAAUUAGAGACAUGACAGCUGGAGGAUCGUGGCAGUCAACCUUCUUCAGGAUGCAACCGUUGCGCAGGAAUUCUAACGGUGCUUGGGUUUAAAAAAAAUCUUUGAAUUCUCUGUGAUCUUUUAAUUUUCUUGCACAAGGAUUUUUUUUUUUGAGAAGGAGGAAUUUAUGAGGAAGGUGGCUAGAGAUGAUUCUAACUUUCAUGUGAGAGGGACUGAGAAAAUUGACUUGAAGAAGGAUGGAUAAAGAAGGAAAAUUCCUGGAGGAAAAGGAGCGGAGGAUGUUGGUGAGAGGUGGGGAGGUGGAGUCGACACGACCGAUGUGAAUGGGCGAGUGGAGUGGGUCUUGACUCCGCAGGCUGUGAGGGUGGGUAUGUUGACAGGUGAGAUUACUGACCUGGACACCCGCCGCCACGAGGUUAGUCCACAUCGCAACUGCAGUCAGGCAGGUCACCGCGGGGUCAGGCAAGGACAGUCUCCCCCCUCAACACACUCCUGCUCUCCUAACCUUUUUUCUUUCCUGGCGGCUGUGGAAGGAGUGAGUUCGCUGGUUAGGAGGGUAUGACCCAACUCUCUCUCUCUUCCCCUCCCUCUCUCUCUCUCCGCACUGUCGCCGCUAGGGGAAGUAACAAGGAUCUGGAUAAAAUCCUGUAAUCCAUCCCUUUCUCUACAAUAUUUUGGUGUAGGGUAAAAUUUAUAUUUUUAAAAAUUAAAAUAAUGGCAAAUGCACUAUUUCAUUAAAGAUUUAACCAACAUCAUUUCUGCGAAAUAUUAAUUUAAUAAAGAUUAUAUAUUAGAAACUUACAGUUUAAAUGAAGUUUCAAAAUUUGUUAUAGGUUACAACAAGUUUUUAAAUCUUUUAUUCUCUGCCCUGUAAUAAUAACAACAAUAAGGAAGGAAAAGGGAAAGGGACAGCAAUAACUUUUGUGAGAAAGGUAAAUAUGAAUCGUUUGAAGAAUAAAUAAAUAAAAAUCCCGAGGAGCAGAAGGACGAAUGACGCAAGCAGUUUUACUUAUGGCAGCAAAAGUCUAAAAAUAUCGCAGUUGUAAAAGUUUGACGAGGAGGAGCCGAGACCACCUAGGGUAGUGGUGAGAGCGGGGGUGGUGUGUUGUGGUGGAGGUAGUGGUGGUGGUGGUGGGUACGUCAAGGCCACACGUCAUCUGGCACAACCCAGCAGGAGGCGCGCGCGUCUAUUCCUGUCUUUAUAACUACGCAUUUGACGAGGACAGAGGAACAGAAGGAAAAAAAAAAAAAAAGGAAAAACAAAAGUUAUGCAAGUUAUGAAUAUUCAUGGAGGCAGCAGUUAUAGAACAGCUGUAAAGCAGGGGCCAGAUCAGUGUGGGAAAAAUCAUGAUGAAAAAGCUGCUGGAGAGGACAGUUGAUGUGUAGGUGUGCUUUUUUUUUUCUUUUUUUAUACGGCCGUGCCGAACAGGUGAUGGAUGAACACCUGUGGAUUAAUACCUGGCCUCCAGAACUGUUUCACAUUCGUGUUACGGUCGCGCCUCGCGGGCACAAAAAGUGACUCACAGGAUUACCUCACAGACUGACUGCACCUACCCAGGGUAACUCCACCAACUGACAGAAUUACACUCACCCAUUGCUGGAUGCCAUCGACUGAAGAGGAGUCCUGUUUGUCCACAGUGAGGUGCCCUCCUCUCCUACCUGUAUCUUGUCCACGCCAUGAAAGUCCUGUCCAGGUGUGUCGAGGGCGAGUCGAAGAGGGUCAGAAGAACUAAGGGAUGAAACAACAGAAAACUUUAUAUCAAGACCAGUCUCCCUCAGCCAAACCUGUAUUCGACAACAGGGAGAUAACGAUUGUCGAAAUCCGUCUGCUAGCAGUUCCACCGAUGUGGUGUUGAUGCAAUUCUGAAGGACAAGAGAAAACUCAAAGGCUUUGACAGGGAACAAAGAUACGAAGUCUCGUCAUUGUGAGUCCAAUGUCUCAUGUAAUGAGAUAUCUCCGCCAUUGUUUUCCGUACCAUCUGUCACUCAGAGACCAAAGAUAGACCGAGUGGAGAUAUAUAUUAAAGACUUCUGAACCAUAUAUAACCUUGAAGUCAUCGUCAGUGAGGACAUCAACGGUCUCAGGUAUCUACACCACCAUUUUCACUCAUUUUCAACCCCUAUCCACGACUUCUAUCAUGUGUUGAUGACAGAAAACUUAAAGAACAUUCCCCAAAAAAACCUUAACCGGUGGCGGUGUUGAUAACAAUUUAUUUAUAAUCCUUUUGUCCCUCACGAUUAAAGCUUCAGGAUGAGGAAAGCCAGUAAAAAGAAUAAACCUGUAUCAAGUUUCGCCAUCAUGGGACUUUGAAUUUCAAAGGAAUCACGAGGAGCGCUGCAACUUGAGGUGAGGAGACAAUCAAAGUAAAAUUCUAGAACUAAUAGGGAUCUCACAGAAUCAGAUGUCUGUUCUACCAUUUGACAUGUGAUUUCGAUUGGAAAUUUAAUCAUGUCUCCGAAAACAAAAUGGGAAAGAAACCAUUCAUACUUUCUUUCUAAAAACAAAUGGCAACAGUAACUCUUUUAUUUGUAAUAUUGGGUGGUGGACGAACCAUCAUUUUCUCAACUGUCAGUAAUUAUCAUACAAAUAGGUUCAACUGUGUUAAGAAAACGAGAUGUACCUUACAUAGAGAUAAAUCUUACACUAUUUAUGCUGGACCUUUCUUUAUUUUGUGCGCAUGCGUGUGUGUGUGUGUGGGAAGAAAAAUAGUGUCAAGAUGAAAAGUAUACUCACAUCUAUACGCCAAGAUGGCGGCUAGUAUGGAAGGAUGGCGCCUGCUGGAGAUGAGUGCCAAGGCAAAGAUAUGGCCAUAAAGAAAUAGUUCUGUGAGCAACCUUCUAGGGUCCUAAAUUAUGUCGCGCAGCGACUCCACACCCCCCACGUGUUAAUCACGUGCUCCACUGGCUCAGCAGCGAUUGGUGGAUUCGCGAUUUAGAAGACGAAAACGGUUGGGAGGACGUGGCAACGGGAAGAGAGCGUGUCUUUUGUGGUGCCACGGGUAAUGACCAAUAGAAUGACAGCCAGAUCCCAAAAUUGCCAACUGUUAAAACUCUUCCAUUUGCGUUGUCUGCCCUCCAUCAGGGCCGUAGGAUUUCGUUACAUCAAUUUUUUUUCGAGAAAUAAAGCAGCUUAAAGAAUUAAAGUCGCGGUUUAUAGCAGGGAUUGGCAAAAUUUUCUGUUUGCGAGCCAGUCUCAAUAAUAUAUGAACACAUAAAGGCCGAAUAAGAAAAAAUGAAAGCAGGUGAACUUCACAUUUUGUCAGAGGAGUCGGUCCAAAGACAUGUCUGGGUUUUAGUUUGCCCACCCCUGUCUUAGAACCACAGUUGUCUGUAUUCAUACCAUAGACAUUUAAAUUAGCAGAAGCAACAAAAUCCAAAGUCCUUUUGGACUAGCUCAAGAAAAUUUCAAUGACAAGAAAAUAUUCAGGAAAUAAUACAAGCGCGAUUCUUUUGUUUUUGGAUACCUUGAUUUAAUAAUAAUAGCAAUGAAUAGUUUUAAACCCAGCAUGAUAAUUAUGUUGUUUGACAGAAUUAUACUGGAAACACUUCAGUAUGUGGUCGUGUCCUGGUGGUCAAUAUGAAGGCUUGAGCAAUCACAAAAUCUUCGUUGGGAAGGUGGCGAACGAGGUUUAUCUACAUGGGACCAUGGCCACCUAUCAACCUUUUCUAUGCUCGAUCCAUCGGCUGCUUUUGACACUUUGGACCAUCACAAUCUUCCCAGAGACUUCAUACGACCUUUGACCUCUACCGCACAGCUCUUGGUUGGUUGCACUUCUGUCUGUCUGCUGGCACCCAGUCUGUUGGUCUCCUCGCCUUGACAUCCAAACCUGCUUCAGUUCAACUCGGAGAGCCUCAUGAUUCAGUCCAGGACCUGUCUUGUUUACUACCCUUUGUCCAGCCACUUGGUCCUGUGAUUGGCCACUAUGGUUUGUAAUACCACGUGUAUGUCGACAAUACUCAGCUCCUGACUCUGACCCAGCUUGCCAACUCCACCGAAUGUCCACCAGCACUCAGCAAACUCUUCAUUCUGUCAAACACUGGAUGUGAUGAAAUCUCAGAACUAUGGUGUUCGCAUUGUAUUAUGCAAGCAAAAGGUUGAUCAUGUCACACCACCCUCGCACUGGGUGGCAUUUCAGGUUUGCAUUCAGUUCAAGAUCCCAUAAUUUGUUAUCAUCUAGUUCACAGCCUCGUCUCAACCUGUCUCACCUUGCAAUCAGUUUUACCUGUUGCUUUGUCUACCUUCUCCUAGUCUGCGUUCCUUCUUGUUCUAAAGUACACAGCAAUGUCGACGAUCAUAUUUUAUUUUUUUAAUUAUGUGAGCCAACAAGGUCGAUGAACGCUACGCGUGUCGACGUCAAACCGGAAGUGGGUUAUCCUCGGACUGGGGGGGAAGGUCACAUGCAUGAAUAAUUCUCCCAAAUCGUCCAUAUAGGCCGCGGGCACCCGACAAGAAGCAAACCUGUCUGUCCCGACAUGUACUCGUAUGUGUCCUGUCUAUCCUUACUCGUCCCUCAAAAUGUGUUGUUAAUAUUUAUCCACUUAAUAUAAAUUUAUGUUGUUGUGACAAUAGCUGCUAAACUCACUGAAAUCUUCGAUUACCAAGGGUGGUCGGGUUAAAUGACUUUGUGGGCUGUAUACACCUGCGAGCCAGACAUUCCCCACCCGUGAUAUAAAGGAUGGAGUGGUAGAUGUGACAGUGGUGAAUAAAACCUACCUGUGAAGUAAACAGACCUGAUGUCAAGCUUUGUGAGUGAAAAAGAUAUUGAAUCACUAUGUCUCCCUGUAAAUAGUCUUAGAGCCAAGCUUAGAGGUGUGUGAUGUCUCAGGGUGAUUAUUAAUAAUAAAUAAUAAACAUCA